rnacentral:rRNA from 1 species
UACGUAGGGUGCGAGCGUUAAUCGGAAUUAUUGGGCGUAAAGAGCUCGUAGGCGGUUUGUCGCGUCUGCCGUGAAAGUCCGGGGCUCAACCCCGGAUCUGCGGUGGGUACGGGCAGACUAGAGUGAUGUAGGGGAGACUGGAAUUCCUGGUGUAGCGGUGAAAUGCGCAGAUAUCAGGAGGAACACCGAUGGCGAAGGCAGGUCUCUGGGCAUUAACUGACGCUGAGGAGCGAAAGCAUGGGGAGCGAACAGG